UUAAGCGACUAAGCGUACACGGUGGAUGCCCUGGCAGUCAGAGGCGAUGAAGGACGUGCUAAUCUGCGAAAAGCGUCGGUAAGGUGAUAUGAACCGUUACAGCCGGCGAUGUCCGAAUGGGGAAACCCAGUGCAAUUCGUUGCACUAUCGUUAACUGAAUACAUAGGUUAACGAGGCGAACCGGGGGAACUGAAACAUCUAAGUACCCCGAGGAAAAGAAAUCAACCGAGAUUCCCCCAGUAGCGGCGAGCGAACGGGGAGCAGCCCAGAGUCUGAAUCAGCUUGUGUGUUAGUGGAACGGUCUGGAAAGUCCGACGGUACAGGGUGAUAGUCCCGUACACCAAAAUGCACAGGCUGUGAACUCGAAGAGUAGGGCGGGACACGUGGUAUCCUGUCUGAAUAUGGGGGGACCAUCCUCCAAGGCUAAAUACUCCUGACUGACCGAUAGUGAACCAGUACCGUGAGGGAAAGGCGAAAAGAACCCCGGCGAGGGGAGUGAAAAAGAACCUGAAACCGUGUACGUACAAGCAGUGGGAGCACCUUCGGGUGUGACUGCGUACCUUUUGUAUAAUGGGUCAGCGACUUAUAUUCUGUAGCAAGGUUAACCGUAUAGGGGAGCCGCAGGGAAACCGAGUCUUAACUGGGCGUUAAGUUGCAGGGUAUAGACCCGAAACCCGGUGAUCUAGCCAUGGGCAGGUUGAAGGUUGGGUAACACUAACUGGAGGACCGAACCGACUAAUGUUGAAAAAUUAGCGGAUGACUUGUGGCUGGGGGUGAAAGGCCAAUCAAACCGGGAGAUAGCUGGUUCUCCCCGAAAGCUAUUUAGGUAGCGCCUCGUGAAUUCAUCUUCGGGGGUAGAGCACUGUUUCGGCUAGGGGGUCAUCCCGACUUACCAACCCGAUGCAAACUACGAAUACCGAAGAAUGUUAUCACGGGAGACACACGGCGGGUGCUAACGUCCGUCGUGAAGAGGGAAACAACCCAGACCGCCAGCUAAGGUCCCAAAGUCAUGGUUAAGUGGGAAACGAUGUGGGAAGGCACAGACAGCCAGGAUGUUGGCUUAGAAGCAGCCAUCAUUUAAAGAAAGCGUAAUAGCUCACUGGUCGAGUCGGCCUGCGCGGAAGAUGUAACGGGGCUAAACCAUGCACCGAAGCUGCGGCAGCGACACUAUGUGUUGUUGGGUAGGGGAGCGUUCUGUAAGCCUGCGAAGGUGACCUGUGAGGGUUGCUGGAGGUAUCAGAAGUGCGAAUGCUGACAUAAGUAACGAUAAAGCGGGUGAAAAGCCCGCUCGCCGGAAGACCAAGGGUUCCUGUCCAACGUUAAUCGGGGCAGGGUGAGUCGACCCCUAAGGCGAGGCCGAAAGGCGUAGUCGAUGGGAAACAGGUUAAUAUUCCUGUACUUGGUGUUACUGCGAAGGGGGGACGGAGAAGGCUAUGUUAGCCGGGCGACGGUUGUCCCGGUUUAAGCAUGUAGGCUGGUUAUCCAGGCAAAUCCGGAUAAUCAAGGCUGAGGUGUGAUGACGAGGCACUACGGUGCUGAAGUAACAAAUGCCCUGCUUCCAGGAAAAGCCUCUAAGCAUCAGGUAACACGAAAUCGUACCCCAAACCGACACAGGUGGUCAGGUAGAGAAUACCAAGGCGCUUGAGAGAACUCGGGUGAAGGAACUAGGCAAAAUGGUGCCGUAACUUCGGGAGAAGGCACGCUGGUGUGUAGGUGAAGCCCCUGCGGGUGGAGCUGAGACCAGUCGAAGAUACCAGCUGGCUGCAACUGUUUAUUAAAAACACAGCACUGUGCAAACACGAAAGUGGACGUAUACGGUGUGACGCCUGCCCGGUGCCGGAAGGUUAAUUGAUGGGGUUAUCCGUAAGGAGAAGCUCUUGAUCGAAGCCCCGGUAAACGGCGGCCGUAACUAUAACGGUCCUAAGGUAGCGAAAUUCCUUGUCGGGUAAGUUCCGACCUGCACGAAUGGCGUAAUGAUGGCCAGGCUGUCUCCACCCGAGACUCAGUGAAAUUGAACUCGCUGUGAAGAUGCAGUGUACCCGCGGCAAGACGGAAAGACCCCGUGAACCUUUACUAUAGCUUGACACUGAACAUUGAGCCUUGAUGUGUAGGAUAGGUGGGAGGCUUUGAAGCGUGGACGCCAGUCUGCGUGGAGCCAACCUUGAAAUACCACCCUUUAAUGUUUGAUGUUCUAACGUUGGCCCCUUAUCGGGGUUGCGGACAGUGUCUGGUGGGUAGUUUGACUGGGGCGGUCUCCUCCCAAAGCGUAACGGAGGAGCACGAAGGUUAGCUAAUCCUGGUCGGACAUCAGGAGGUUAGUGCAAUGGCAUAAGCUAGCUUGACUGCGAGCGUGACGGCGCGAGCAGGUGCGAAAGCAGGUCAUAGUGAUCCGGUGGUUCUGAAUGGAAGGGCCAUCGCUCAACGGAUAAAAGGUACUCCGGGGAUAACAGGCUGAUACCGCCCAAGAGUUCAUAUCGACGGCGGUGUUUGGCACCUCGAUGUCGGCUCAUCACAUCCUGGGGCUGAAGUAGGUCCCAAGGGUAUGGCUGUUCGCCAUUUAAAGUGGUACGCGAGCUGGGUUUAGAACGUCGUGAGACAGUUCGGUCCCUAUCUGCCGUGGGCGCUGGAGAAUUGAGGGGGGCUGCUCCUAGUACGAGAGGACCGGAGUGGACGCAUCACUGGUGUUCGGGUUGUCAUGCCAAUGGCACUGCCCGGUAGCUAAAUGCGGAAGAGAUAAGUGCUGAAAGCAUCUAAGCACGAAACUUGCCCCGAGAUGAGUUCUCCCUGAGACUUUAAGUCUCCUGAAGGAACGUUAAAGACGAUGACGUUGAUAGGCCGGGUGUGUAAGCGCAGCGAUGCGUUGAGCUAACCGGUACUAAUGAACCGUGAGGCUUAACCUU
rnacentral:rRNA from 1 species